UACGGGGGGGGCAAGCGUUGUUCGGAAUUACUGGGCGUAAAGGGCUCGUAGGCGGCCAACUAAGUCGGAUGUGAAAUCCCCAGGCUUAACCUGGGAACUGCAUCCGAUACUGGAUGGCUUGAAUCCGGGAGAGGGAUGCAGAAUUCCAGGUGUAGCGGUGAAAUGCGUAGAUAUCUGGAGGAAUACCGGUGGCGAAGGCGGCAUCCUGGACCGGCAUUGACGCUGAUGAGCGAAAGCGUGGGGAUCAAACAGG
rnacentral:rRNA from 1 species